rnacentral:rRNA from 1 species
AUGCUCCGUCACCGGCGACCUCGCCGCCGCCACCCCUCUCCCCUUGCCCUAUCUCCAUACCGCACGCGAGGGAGGGAGGGAGGCCCCAAAUCGAAGCGAGCAGCAGCUUCCGGUUCCAGAUCGAGAGGGGCCCCAAAUCCUCACCUUCCUCUGCCCCUUGGCUCCUCUGUGUCGCCCUACCCCUCGGCUCCCGCGACGCCGAGCCGGACGGGAGGAGCCACCGCCCCACAGCACGCGCGCGCCGGUAGGGCGAGGGGAUCGAUGGCGAAGCUGUAUGUGCAGGCGGUGCCCCCGCCGGAUCUGAACAAGAACACCGAGUGGUUCAUGUACCUGGGGGUCUGGACCACCUACAUCUUCAUCCUCUUCGUCUCCUGGCUCCUCAUCCUCUCCAUCUUCGGCUGCACCCCCGGCAUGGCCUGGACGCUCGUCAACCUCGGCCACUUCGCGAUUACAUACCACUUCUUCCACUGGAAGAAGGGAACUCCAUCUGCAAGAGAAUCCGUGAAGAAGAGCAACGACCAGAUCCUCGCCUUCAACAAGGUGUGA